rnacentral:siRNA from 1 species
AUAGUGUUCUGGUUGGUAACCAA